GAUGAACGCUGGCGGCGUGCCUAAUACAUGCAAGUCGAGCGAACAGACGAGGAGCUUGCUCCUCUGACGUUAGCGGCGGACGGGUGAGUAACACGUGGAUAACCUACCUAUAAGACUGGGAUAACUUCGGGAAACCGGAGCUAAUACCGGAUAAUAUAUUGAACCGCAUGGUUCAAUAGUGAAAGACGGUUUUGCUGUCACUUAUAGAUGGAUCCGCGCCGCAUUAGCUAGUUGGUAAGGUAACGGCUUACCAAGGCGACGAUGCGUAGCCGACCUGAGAGGGUGAUCGGACACACUGGAACUGAGACACGGCCCAGACUCCUACGGGAGGCAGCAGUAGGGAAUCUUCCGCAAUGGGCGAAAGCCUGACGGAGCAACGCCGCGUGAGUGAUGAAGGUCUUAGGAUCGUAAAACUCUGUUAUUAGGGAAGAACAAAUGUGUAAGUAACUAUGCACGUCUUGACGGUACCUAAUCAGAAAGCCACGGCUAACUACGUG
rnacentral:rRNA from 1 species